AGAAAUCCCUUAGCUUACCACAGAGCAGAACCCCCAGAGGACCAGGACUCCCAAUGUCCCCCCAUUCCCCACCCGCCAGGAGAGAGCUUACCUCUCCCUCUUCCCAGCUGAGACCCUUCUGUGUCCCUUUCUGCACCUCUGCCCCGCCGCCCCCUCUAGCUCUCAUGCCUUCAUAUUUCCCCUGCCUUACUCCUCCUUUCCACCCAGCUCAGCCCUGUCCUUCCUAAACCCUCCUUCAGGCUUGGUGUCUUUCAGUAGCCAAAUAAAUUUCAGAGCACGGAGAUGGGAGCCAGCACAGAUGAGGUCCAGGCAUUUUUUAAGGGGUAGAGUGAGAUCAGGAGUCACCCUGUUUCUUCCCUCCCCACCCAGACUCCACACAGCCCUGGGCUGUGAAUCACUGAUUCAAAAGGGCCAUGAAGUUAGGCAAAGGUGCAGAACUGUUAUGGGGCUGGAGGAACAUGCAGGUGGCAUGAGGGCCAUUUGGGUGACAGCAAGAGGAAGCAGCGCUGCUCACUCCUUCUCCAGGUAGGUACUUUGAGGGGUUAUGAAUUAGGAAUGUGGGUGUCAUAUAUUUGGGACCUAGCUUUGCAUGAACUUGAACUCAAAUGUUCUUCAACAUAACAGCUACAACCUCCCUGGGGGCCGCCCCUGACCCCCACCUCUCCUAAGAAAUUUGCAGCCUGGGCCAAGGUUUUUCUCUUUGGCUCCGCUUGGAAGUGCAAACCUUGUGGAUUUGAGAUGAAACAUAUGCUGUUCUGGAAUGUGGCUGUUAGCCAAGGGAAUGCUCAGAGGCCCCUGCAAAAUUUGUAGCCAUCUGCCUGGGGUUGAGCUGGGGGGGUUGUGACAGAGCAUUUGGGGCUGGGAAGGAGCCAUGGAGGCUGAGGGUACCUUCCGUUCCUCUACCCCACUUAGGACCAGUGCCUCUCUUAUCAUUCAAGUGGAUCUCAAUGUGCUGUAUUCCUCCCCUGGGGAGACCCAAACCAGACUCACCCUCAGAUGCCGUGGGCCGAGUGACUGGCUCCAAAGGGAACAGGGGUUAAAGGCACUCCAUCUAACUUGGAUCAACGAUCCCAGGGCUGUUGAAGGAGAUGACAGGCCCAUGUGUGUGCCCACACUGGCUCCAAGCAGAGAGGAACCAGUUCUACCUCAAGACUCCCAGGCACCCCCGAUCUGGAAGACAGAGCUCUAUCUUGCUGCAAAGCUACAUCUGCCCACCAGAUGAGCAGUACCUGUAAAAACUUCCCACAUCAAGCCUUGUGGGGCUAAUGCCUCUUCCAGAGCCGCUGACAACAGGAAAAUGAUCCUAGCACUGCACUUCCCAAAGGACUCAGAGAUUCUUGCCCUGGAGCCAGGAAUGGGGAGUUUGAUGUUGUGUUGUCCACAGACAUUCCAGAAGGAAAGGGUUGCAGUAGGAGAAGGCCUGGACGAACAAGAGGAGGGACCAGGGAACAAAAGCAGAUUCUCAAAGAGGUCAAUAUAUAUUGGCUAAUUGCUUAAUAUUGGUAAUAGUAUUAAUAACAAAAAUCCCUACCAUUUACUGAAGGCCUUUAGCAUGCCAGGCCUCUUGCAGACAUCGCUCCAAUUCAUUCUCACAGCCUUGCAGAAUAUGUAUUACUUUCCCCAUUCUACAGAAGAAGAAACUGCUACUCCCAGAGGGUAUGCUUUCAAAGAUCACAGGGCUGCCACCAAGCCUGCUGCUUCAUGUCUGAGUGAAACAGAGCAAUCUCCCAGAUAACAGGAGACGGGUAGGUGGAAACAUUUCUAAAAUGGGGCUGAAGGAGAGCAAGUAAGCGCCAAACCUCGGUCCCAGCCCCUCUUGGAAUUGAGUUAAAGAGAAAAGAAGAGCUAAGAGCUCAGCGUUCCUGAAAGCAGCAUGGGUGUCUUUUUUAAUAAACACGCCAAAGCUUGACUCUCUG
rnacentral:lncRNA from 10 species